rnacentral:misc_RNA from 2 species
CACUCAGUAGAUUCUCUACUGCUCAGGGAGAGGGGAAAGUUUCCAGCAUGCUUCGGCGGCUGGUGACGAGUACGCUCUCUAUCUGAACCCUUGUCUUUUUGUGUACUCUUGUUUCCUCGGCGGGCCUGCCCGCCGGCUGGACAACUCUAUAACCUUUUUUAAUUCUCAAUCAGCGUCUGAAUAAAUAUAAUAAUUA